CGUAGUCAACAUGCCCAGGGGACGUGGAUAACCUCGGGAAACUGAGGAUAAACCACGAUAAGUCACUACUUCUGGAAUGGGUAAUGACUCAAAUCUACAUGGCCCCUGGAUUGGACUGCGGCCGAUCAGGCUGUUGGUGAGGUAAUGGCCCACCAAACCUGUAACCGGUACGGGCUCUGAGAGGAGGAGCCCGGAGAUGGGCACUGAGACAAGGGCCCAGGCCCUAUGGGGCGCAGCAGGCGCGAAACCUCUGCAAUAGGCGAAAGCCUGACAGGGUUACUCUGAGUGAUUUCCGUUAAGGAGAUCUUUUGGCACCUCUAAAAAUGGUGCAGAAUAAGGGGUGGGCAAGUCUGGUGCCAGCCGCCGCGGUAAUACCAGCACCCCGAGUGGUCGGGACGUUUAUUGGGCCUAAAGCAUCCGUAGCCGGUUCUACAAGUCUUCCGUUAAAUCCACCUGCUUAACAGAUGGGCUGCGGAAGAUACUAUGGAGCUAGGAGGCGGGAGAGGCAAGCGGUACUCGAUGGGUAGGGGUAAAAUCCGUUGAUCCAUUGAAGACCACCAGUGGCGAAGGCGGCUUGCCAGAACGCGCUCGACGGUGAGGGAUGAAAGCUGGGGGAGCAAACCGGAUUAGAUACCCGGGUAGUCCCAGCUGU
rnacentral:rRNA from 1 species